rnacentral:rRNA from 1 species
AUACCGGAUAUGACUGUCUGCCGCAUGGUGGGUGGUGGAAAGUUCUUGGGCUUUGGUCUGGGUUCGGCUGGGGAUGGGCCUGCGGCCUAUCAGCUUGUUGGUGGGGUGAUGGCCUACCAAGGCGACGACGGGUAGCCGGCCUGAGAGGGCGACCGGCCACACUGGGACUGAGACACGGCCCAGACUCCUACGGGAGGCAGCAGUGGGGAAUAUUGCGCAAUGGGCGGAAGCCUGACGCGGCGACGCCGCGUGGGGGAUGACGGCCUUCGGGUUGUAAACCUCUUUCGCCAUCGACGAAGGUUCUGUGGUUGUGAGGCAGCAGGGUUGACGGUAGGUGGAGAAGAAGCACCGGCCAACUACGUGCCAGCAGCCGCGGUAAUACGUAGGGUGCGAGCGUUGUCCGGAAUUAUUGGGCGUAAAGAGCUCGUAGGCGGUGUGUCGCGUCGUCUGUGAAAUCCCGUGGCUCAACCACGGGCUUGCAGGCGAUACGGGCAGACUUGAGUAUUGCAGGGGAGACUGGAAUUCCUGGUGUAGCGGUGAAAUGCGCAGAUAUCAGGAGGAACACCGGUGGCGAAGGCGGGUCUCUGGGCAAAUACUGACGCUGAGGAGCGAAAGCAUGG